rnacentral:rRNA from 1 species
ACAGCAGUAGCCGCGGGAAUACGGAGGGUGCAAGCGUUAUCCGGAUUUACUGGGUUUAAAGGGUGUGUAGGCGGGUAUUUAAGUCAGUGGUGAAAUCUCCGAGCUCAACUUGGAAACUGCCAUUGAUACUAUUUAUCUUGAAUUUUGUUGAGGUAGGCGGAAUAAGUCAUGUAGCGGUGAAAUGCAUAGAUAUGACUUAGAACACCAAUUGCGAAGGCAGCUUGCUAAACAAAUAUUGACGCUGAGGCACGAAAGCGUGGGGAUCAAACAGGAUUAGAUACCCCAGUAGUCCCUGUCUCUUAUAC